rnacentral:misc_RNA from 1 species
UCCCGGUUGGCCCGGGCGGUCUCGCGUGAAAAGUACAACACACGACAAGGGUUGCGCUCGUUGCGGGACUUAACCCAACAUCUCACGACACGAGCUGACGACGGCCAUGCAACAUCUGUCACCGAUCCAGCCGAACUGACUGCCUAGUUUCUUAGGCGUACGAUCGGGAUGUCAAACCUUGGUAAGGUUCUGCGCGUAGCAUCGAAUUAAACCACAUGAUCCACUGCUUGUGCGGAGCCCCGUCAAUUCCUUUGAGUUUUAGCCUUGCGGCCGUACUCCCCAGGCGGCAUAUUUAUCGCGUUAGCUUCUCCGCACAGAGGGUCGAUACUCCAUACGAAUAAUAUGCAUCGUUUACGGCGUGGACUA